UACGUAGGGUGCGAGCGUUGUCCGGAAUUAUUGGGCGUAAAGGGCUCGUAGGCGGUUUGUCGCGUCGGGAGUGAAAUCCACUGGCUUAACUGGUGGCUUGCUUUCGAUACGGGCAGACUGGAGGUAUGCAGGGGAGAACGGAAUUCCUGGUGUAGCGGUGAAAUGCGCAGAUAUCAGGAGGAACACCGGUGGCGAAGGCGGCUCCUGGUCUGCGACUGACGCUGUGGCGCGAAAGCUAGGGGAGCAAACGGG
rnacentral:rRNA from 1 species